AUGCUUCUAAGAAGAGAGUCAGGGAUGCAGCUCAAUCUUAUUCUUCAACUCAAGUGGCAGCUAAGCAACAGAAGUUCUGGUUGCCUCCUCCUCCUUUGUUUUGUUAGCCUUAUCAGCAGAAGAGUAAAGGUGGCAGUGGAUCUUCCCACCCACCCAACCCAGGCUAUCAGAACAAAGCUCAGUCUCAUACUCCAGGGUCUAGUGCUCCUUAUCACCAUCUGCUCUCAGAGGUUACUUGCAACAAGUGUCAUCAGAAAGGGAACUCUGCAAACAAAUGCUUCAACCAAAUGCGCCUUCCGCGUCCUCCUCCUGUGA
rnacentral:rRNA from 1 species